UCCCAUUCAGCUGCACUAUUUCGACCAAAGGUUUGAAAUUCCCAUCUCAAUUUCCUGCAAUUCUCUCUUUAUUGAGUAGACCUUUAUAACACCAAGUUCCCACCAACAAUACCAUGGAUACUUGGUAUGCGAUCGAUACAUUCGCAGCACAGCAUCUAUAUCAGGCAGGUGCAUUUUAUCACUUUUAGGUGAGUUGGGUAUUAGUGGUGGCACUGUCAGUACAAGUACAAAUAUAGAAAGACCUUGUGCAGAUGUGCUUUAGUCAGAGAGUUGUGUCUAUACCAUAAAACAUACAUUCGUACAUAAACAUAAUUAUAUUGGGGAGUGAAUAUAGUAAAACAAAAAAAACAAAAAAAGCUGGAAUAGGAAAUUAAUGGUAUAGAAGGAGAACUUUCAGAAUGGAAUAAAU